AGCUCUUGCCGCAUCUCGGACUUUCCAU
rnacentral:piRNA from 1 species